rnacentral:rRNA from 1 species
GUGCCAGCAGCCGCGGUAAAACGUAGGUCCCGAGCGUUGUUCGGAUUCACUGGGUGUAAAGGGCGCGUAGGUGGUUGUCUGCGUCUCAUGUGAAAACUCAGGGCUCAACUCUGAGAUUGCGUGGGAAACUAGGCAGCUAGAGGACGGUAGAGGGGAGUGGAAUUCCCGGUGUAGCGGUAAAAUGCGUAGAUAUCAGGAGGAACACCGGUGGCGAAGGCGGCUUUCUGGACUGACCCUGACGCUGAGACGCGAAAGCGUGGGGAGCAAACAGGAUUAGAUACCCGGGUAGUCCUAGCCGUAAACGAUGGGUGCUAGGUGUUGGGGGGUAAAGACCCUUCAGUGCCGAAGCCAACGCGAUAAGCAUCCCACCUGGGGAGUACGGCCGCAAGGUUGAAACUCAAAUGAAUUGACGG